AGCAUAUCAUGAGCGGAGGAAAAGAAACCAACAGGGAUWGCCCCAGUAACGGCGAAGUGAAGCGGCAAGAGCUCAAAUUUGAAAUCUGGCCUCCCCCGGGGGUCCGAGUUGUAAUUUGCAGAGGAUGCUUCGGGCGCGGCCCCCGUCUAAGUUCCUUGGAACAGGACGUCAGAGAGGGUGAGAAUCCCGUCUUGGGCGGGCGGCCCGCGCCCGUGUGAAGCUCCUUCGACGAGUCGAGUUGUUUGGGAAUGCAGCUCUAAGCGGGUGGUAAAUUUCAUCUAAAGCUAAAUACCGGCCGGAGACCGAUAGCGCACAAGUAGAGUGAUCGAAAGGUUAAAAGCACCUUGAAAAGGGAGUUAAACAGCACGUGAAAUUGUUGAAAGGGAAGCGCUUGCGGCCAGACUCGGGGGGCGGGGUUCAGCGGGCGCUCGUCGCCCGUGCACUGCCCGCUCCCCGGGCCAGCAUCAGCUUCGACGGCCGGUCAAAGGCCCCCGGAAUGUGUCGUCUCUAGGGACGUCUUAUAGCCGGGGGUGCAAUGCGGCCCGUCGAGACUGAGGAACGCGCUCCGGCUCGGAUGCUGGCGUAAUGGCCGUAAGCGGCCCGUCUUGAAACACGGACCAAGGAGUCUAACAUCCACGCGAGUGUUCGGGUGUCAAACCCGUGCGCGCAGUGAAAGCGAACGGAGGUGGGAGCCCCCCCCAGGGCGCACCAUCGACCGAUCCUGAAGUCUUCGGAUGGAUUUGAGUAGGAGCGUGGCCGUUGGGACCCGAAAGAUGGUGAACUAUGCCUGAAUAGGGGUGAAGCCAGAGGAAACUCUGGUGGAGGCUCGCAGCGGUUCUGACGUGCAAAUCGAUCGUCAAAUUUGGGCAUAGGGGCGAAAGACUAAUCGAACCAUCUAGUAGCUGGUUCUGC
rnacentral:rRNA from 1 species